CUAUACCCUCUUCUCUCUCCGUGGCAGCCCCCAUUCAAACUGUGUUUCGAGCUCCAUUCAUAGAUCAAACACGAGCUUCUUCCUCUCUCCCUGGCACGAGUUACUUUUCUCUCGGUGGCUGCUACUUCUGCUUCUUCCGCCGUGGCCGUUGCCGCUGCCGCCGCUGCUUGCAUCGCACAAUCUCUCUGUCAUCCCUUGCGUCCUACGAGAUCCCCCCGCCGUCGCUCUCAUCGCAGAGCUCUCUCUGCCGACGCUCUCAUCGCAUCUGCUCCCUCUGGCACCUCUCCCAUCUAAUCUCAACUCACUCUCUCAGUUCUUCUUGUAACCAUCUCAAAUUUCAGUGUUACAGCUCAAGAUCUUGUUGACACUAUGCUUCUAAAUUUCUGAUAUCUUCACUCUUAACGAUGGAUCUGUAACGCCUCUACUCAAGAGCAUGACAGUGCAUAAUAUGUAUGUUGGAGAGGGUUCAGACUUCCAAUAUAAUAUAUAAAAGGGUGGCUGAGCAGUGGGGUUCUCUUGGUGACUUGACUACGUCUGUUACAUCGAUUCGAUUCAAUUGAUACAGAAGGAAUACUCAGGAUCUGCUAGAACUGGAGAUGGAUCUAUUAGACGAGAUCAAGUUGGUGAGGUCAAAAUACUCAGCUUGUUCAACAGGGUUCACUGAAUUAUAUUAGUUCCCAGUUGGUUGAAUCUAUUUUAAGCAAGGUUGUAGAAGAGUUCGAGCAUCAGAUUGCAAGCAGAGGAGGUGAACAGUUACAACCAAAAAUAACUUCAAGAGAUCCUAUUUCUCAAAGCAAUGGGUCUUCAAGAGGUGAACAGUUACAACCAAAAAUUUCUUGAAUGUAAGUAGAACUGUCCAAUGAACAUGACAACAUAGCAAAGAAAUAGGAAAGUGAUGUUGAUUCCUUUUAUUGUUGAUCUUUUUCUAGUCAUAUUCUAGCACUUGUUCUGUUUGGUUUAUUUUCUUGAGAGUAAAAACUAAAACGAGGUUCAGGGCCACCUAAUUAGAAGAUAAGAGGUGAAUUUAAUACAUUAACAGAUGUAAUACAU